rnacentral:rRNA from 1 species
UACGGAGGGUGCAAGCGUUAUCCGGAUUCACUGGGUUUAAAGGGUGCGUAGGCGGCCAGGUAGGUCUGCUGUGAAAACUCGAGGCUUAACCUCGAGCUGUCGGCGGAAACCAUCUGGCUAGAGUCCGGAAGAGGAGAAUGGAAUGCCCGGUGUAGCGGUGAAAUGCGCAGAUAUCGGGAAGAACACCCGUGGCGAAGGCGGUUCUCUGGGACGGUACUGACGCUGAGACGCGAAAGCGUGGGGAGCGAACAGG